GUAGGUGGCAAGCGUUGUCCGGAAUUAUUGGGCGUAAAGCGCGCGCAGGCGGUUCUUUAAGUCUGAUGUGAAAGCCCACGGCUCAACCGUGGAGGGUCAUUGGAAACUGGAGAACUUGAGUACAGAAGAGGAAAGCGGAAUUCCACGUGUAGCGGUGAAAUGCGUAGAGAUGUGGAGGAACACCAGUGGCGAAGGCGGCUUUCUGGUCUGUAACUGACGCUGAGGCGCGAAAGCGUGGGGUAGCAAACAGGAUUAGAUACCCUGGUAGUCCACGCCGUAAACGAUGAGUGCUAAGUGUUAGGGGGGUUUUCCGCCCCCCUUAGUGCUGCAGCUAACGCAUUAAGCACUCCGCCUGGGAGUACGGCCGCAAGGCUG
rnacentral:rRNA from 1 species